rnacentral:rRNA from 1 species
UACAUGUGGGGCAAGCGUUGUUCGGAAUUACUGGGCAUAAAGGGUGCGUAGGCGGCGCGUCAAGUCACUGGUGAAAGUUUGCGGCCCAACCGUAAAAUUGCCGGCGAUACUGGCGUGCUUGAGUGCGUGAGGGGUUGGGGGAACGAGUGGUGUAGCGGUGAAAUGCGUAGAGAUCACUCGGAAGGCCAGAGCCGAAGGGGCCCAACUGGUACGCAACUGACGCUGAGGCACGAAAGAGUGGGGAGCAAACAGG